rnacentral:lncRNA from 1 species
GUUAAAAUAUUAAUUUUCGAUAGCAGGAAGGAUCAAACUCCCAACAUACCUCUCCUUCCUUUCCCUCUUAAUCAUCAAAUCCAACUUAUAUCUCCUCUAAGGAUAUUAAUUAUAGAGUUUUUAUGGUGCCCAAAAAUUAUGAGAGUUUUGAUACCGUUGUUUUUUUUAACUAAUAAAAUUGUCAUGUUAUUUAUCUUCUCAUUAAUUAGAUAAUUUUUU